AGCAUCUCAAUGCAGCCCUCGAAUGACUGUGGGCCAUGACUGCAAUGUCUUCCUAGAAAGGGCAUCUUUAACUGGAACGCUUCUUAGUUCAGGUGCAGUGAUUGUCUCCAGGACUUGAACCCACUAAGACUUAAGGUCUGUUUCAAGCAUUCUGAGUAUGGUGCCAUGAGAGAUGCUGUUGUCCAUGAGAGGCUGGGAUUAUUAUGAUCAAGUGCUGUAUUUUGACUUCACCCUGGCUAAAAGAUUUGUGGAGUAAAGAGGAAGUGUUGGACUUUUAAGAGUUAAACAGGUAAGUCUACUGAAAUGGGUUUUUUUGGGUUUUUUUAAUCAACAGUUUUCAGGCUUUUUUCAAUUGCAAGUUCUAUCUCACUGCUCCCUCAAUUCAAAAAA
rnacentral:lncRNA from 1 species